GUGCACUCUGCAGGAAGCGAGAGAGACGAGAGCUGAACAGUGUCGAGUGAACGCAGAGUUCAUAGAAGGGCGACAGACAUAUUUUCGGAUUGACGGAUAGUUAACUGGAGUGAAAAGCUGUUGUACCCUACUGUGAGUAGGAGGAGACGGACGUCUUGCUGGCGUGUCAGAGAGGUCCCUUCUACUGGUGUGCUGAAGUUAUGUGUUCACGUGGAGAGGACGUGGAGAGGACGACUGAGUGCUGCUGCCGCGGCCUGCUGGUAGCCUUGACCCAGUUUCCCCUGCUAUCCCCUUGAACUGCCUGGAGGUGUGAGUACUGUUUGCACGUGCUUUUUAUUUUACUGCUUGGCAACAAGUGAAGCGACCAUAUUGUUUUAGGUCCCAACGCACCCGAGCCACGACUCAGGCCUGCAACGAGGGGUUUGCUAGCAGAAAGACUGUAGCACUUGAGGUGUGUGUGUGUGUGUGUGUGUGUUGGUGAGAGUGCGUGUGGGCCCACAAUAUUAUUUGAUGAUUUUGUUUCUGUUGAAGUAGAUACCAUACCAUUGUUUAACAAACUUUAUUGAUUUUACUUAUUUUCUUUUGUGUUAUUAAUUAAUCAUUCACUAAAGUGGAGUUAACUUUAUAAUUGACUUGUUUGUGUGUGAUUUAUUUCCAUAUAGUGUAGUUUUAUUGCAUAUUUUGUACCAUAAGCAUUAAAAAGGGAGUAUCAGUAGGAAAGUAACAACAGGAACCCAGGGCCCCUCUCAAUAGAACGUGGGACGGGUGUUACAUAAGCAUUUAACAAUUUGAUUAUUUUCUAACAAAAAACUGUGUGAAACUCAAGUUAGACCUGUGUUUGUAAAUGAACCGCCCCAUGUUGUGUAGCUUUCUGGAUUUUAUACUUCUACAACACUGUCCAAUAGAGACACAUGAAUGAAAUGCAGUGUCAUUAAAAACACUGAUGAUUUUUUUU